rnacentral:rRNA from 1 species
UACGAAGGGGCUAGCGUUGUUCGGAAUUACUGGGCGUAAAGCGCGCGCAGGCGGUCCUUUAAGUCAGGGGUGAAAGCCCAGAGCUCAACUCUGGAACUGCCUUUGAAACUAGAGGACUUGGGUACGGGAGAGGUGAGUGGAAUUCCGAGUGUAGAGGUGAAAUUCGUAGAUAUUCGGAAGAACACCAGUGGCGAAGGCGGCUGACUGGACACAUAUUGACGCUGAGGCUCGAAAGCAUGGGAGCAACA